AGCGAACGUUAGCGGCGGGCCUAACACAUGCAAGCCGAGCGAGAAAAGGGCUUCGGCCCUGAGUAAAGCGGCGGACGGGUGAGGAACACGUAGGUAACCUUCCUUUCAGCGGAGGACAACGGUCCGAAAGGACCGCUAAUACCGCAUACGUUCCCCGGGAAUCCGUUCCUGGGGAGGGAAGCCUCGCAGGGGGCACUGAAAGAGGGGCCUGCGUCGCAUCAGCUAGUUGGUGGGGUAACGGCCUACCAAGGCGAAGACGCGUAGCUGGUCUGAGAGGAUGAUCAGCCACACUGGGACUGAGACACGGCCCAGACUCCUACGGGAGGCAGCAGUGGGGAAUAUUGGACAAUGGGGGCAACCCUGAUCCAGCCACGCCGCGUGAGUGAUGAAGGCCUUCGGGUCGUAAAGCUCUGUGGGGAGGGACGAACGUCCCGUUGAAGAAACGGGGGUGACGGUACCUCCUUAGCAAGCACCGGCUAACUUCGUGCCAGCCGCCGCCGUAACAC
rnacentral:rRNA from 1 species